rnacentral:rRNA from 1 species
CCUGACAGGGUUACUCUGAGUGACUUUCGCUAAGAAAGUCUUUUGACAUCUCUAAAAAUGGUGUAGAAUAAGGGGUGGGCAAGUCUGGUGUCAGCCGCCGCGGUA